rnacentral:rRNA from 1 species
CCUAACACAUGCAAGUCGAACGGUAACAGGAAGAAGCUUGCUUCUUUGCUGACGAGUGGCGGACGGGUGAGUAAUGUCUGGGAAACUGCCUGAUGGAGGGGGAUAACUACUGGAAACGGUAGCUAAUACCGCAUAACGUCGCAAAACCAAAGAGGGGGACCUUCGGGCCUCUUGCCAUCGGAUGUGCCCAGAUGGGAUUAGCUAGUAGGUGGGGUAACGGCUCACCUAGGCGACGAUCCCUAGCUGGUCUGAGAGGAUGACCAGCCACACUGGAACUGAGACACGGUCCAGACUCCUACGGGAGGCAGCAGUGGGGAAUAUUGCACAAUGGGCGCAAGCCUGAUGCAGCCAUGCCGCGUGUAUGAAGAAGGCCUUCGGGUUGUAAAGAC